rnacentral:rRNA from 1 species
GGAGCAACGCCGCGUGAGUGAUGAAGGCUUUCAGGUCGUAAAAACUCUGUUGUUAGGGAAGAACAAGUACAAGAGUAACUGCUUGUACCUUGACGGUACCUAACCAGAAAGCCACGGCUAACUACGUGCCAGCAGCCGCGGUAAUACGUAGGUGGCAAGCGUUAUCCGGAAUUAUUGGGCGUAAAGCGCGCGCAGGCGGUUUCUUAAGUYUGAUGUGAAAGCCCACGGCUCAACCGGGGAGGGUCAUUGGAAACUGGGGAACUUGAGUGCAGAAGAGAAAAGCGGAAUUCCACGUGUAGCGGUGAAAUGCGUAGAGAUGUGGAGGAACACCAGUGGCGAAGGCGGCUUUUUGGUCUGUAACUGACGCUGAGGCGCGAAAGCGUGGGGAGCAAACAGGAUUAGAUACCCUGGUAGUCCACGCCGUAAACGAUGAGUGCUAAGUGUUAGAGGGUUUCCGCCCUUUAGUGCUGCAGCUAACGCAUUAAGCACUCCCCCUGGGGAGUACGGUCGCAAGACUGAAACUCAAAGGAAUUGACGGGGGCCCGCCCAAGCGGUGGAGCAUGUGGUUUAAUUUCGAAGCAACGCGAAGAACCUUACCAGGUCUUGACAUCCUUUGACAACUCUAGAGAUAGAGGGUUCCCCUUCGGGGGA